rnacentral:rRNA from 1 species
UACGUAGGGUGCAAGCGUUUAAUCGGAAUUACUGGGCGUAAAGCGUGCGCAGGCGGUUUUGUAAGUUUGUCGUGAAAGCCCCGGGCUCAACCUGGGAAUUGCGAUGAAGACUGCAAGGCUUGAAUCUGGCAGAGGGGGGUAGAAUUCCACGUGUAGCAGUGAAAUGCGUAGAGAUGUGGAGGAACACCGAUGGCGAAGGCAGCCCCCUGGGCUGAGAUUGACGCUCAGGCACGAAAGCGUGGGGAGCAAACAGG